UUGCAAUAUGUCUAUUAUUUGUAUCAGUGUGUUAUCACGGAAGUAAUGGAUGAUGGUGACAAAUCAAGUGCUGGCGAUGAGAGUCGAUACAAAAAAUGUGUUUUCUGUAAUCAAAUCAUUGGAGCCAAAGAUGUUCCUAAGCUUUUACAAUGCUUACAUGCUACAUGCAACGCAUGUAUUACGGCCAAAUUUAAUGAAAUCGAGAAACCAGCGCCACCGGUUGUCAUUUGCCCGGUAAGU